rnacentral:lncRNA from 1 species
UUUUCCUUUCGAAACAAUAAAAGUGCGGUGGUGACUCUAGUUUUACUGACGUCAAGUUUAUCCAUAACUUGACGAUCAUGAAUUUACCGCUACAGAAACUAAGUGGCGACUCUGCUGGGGAGUAGUCCUCAGUGGGUUUAACCUACUUUUUAUGUGUAUACAUGUAUAUUUGAUGUUUGUUUGUAUAUAUUGUUACGUGAUAUUCUGUCUGUUGUGUUUGGUG